GAUGAACGCUGGCGGCGUGCCUAAUACAUGCAAGUAGAACGCUGAAGGAAGGAGCUUGCUCUUUCCGGAUGAGUUGCGAACGGGUGAGUAACGCGUAGGUAACCUGCCUGGUAGCGGGGGAUAACUAUUGGAAACGAUAGCUAAUACCGCAUAACAGUAGAUGUUGCAUGAUAUCUACUUAAAAGGUGCAAUUGCACCACUACCAGAUGGACCUGCGUUGUAUUAGCUAGUUGGUGAGGUAACGGCCCACCAAGGCGACGAUACAUAGCCGACCUGAGAGGGUGUCCGCCCCAACUGGAAUUGGACACGGCCCAAACUUCUACGGGAAGGCGCAGGAGGGAAACCUUGGCCAUGGACGGAAGGCUGAACCAGCAACGCCGCGGUAGGGGAGAAGGUUGUCGGAUCGUAAAGCUCUGUUGUUAGGGGAGAACGGGUGUGAGAGUUGAAAGUUCACACUGUGACGGUAUCUUAACAAAAAGGGACGGCUAACUACGUG
rnacentral:rRNA from 1 species